UAAUUAGAUUUUAUUUAAUUUAAUUUUUAUUAAUUAAUUUAAUUUAUAGAAAUAACUUUUGUUUUAGUAUUUUUUAAUGAAUAAAUUUUUUUAUAUUUAUAGUUUAUUUUACUGUAAAGGUUUAUAAUAAUUACUAUAAAAGUAUAAUUUAUUAUUUGUACCUUUUGUAUCAGGGUUUAUUUAUAAUAUUUUAAUUAUAUUAAAUAUCCCGAAUUUAAAAGAGAUAUAUAUGAAUUGUUAUUUAAUGUGGAAAAAUUAUUAAUAAAUUAUAUAUAGAUGUUAUAUGCUAUUCAUUUUUAAAUAUCUGGUUUCUUAAUAAUUGAAUUUAAUUCAGGAUUAAUAAAUUCCAACAGAUCAAUUUAUUUUUGUUGUAAUUCUUAAUCUAAAAUGUAAGGGGAUAAGCUCUUAUUCAUUAUUCUAUAAACUUUAUUUUUAUAUAGAUUUUGUAGGAUUAGAAAUUUUCAUCAUUUAUUUUGUUAUAAUUAUAUUUAUAUAUAUAUUUAUUUAUUUGUGUUUUAGAUAUUUAUUAAGAAUUACUAAUUAAUUAUAAAUUAGUAGAUAUAAUGAUAAAAUUAGUAAAUAAUAGUAAUUUAAUAUAUAGGAAUUCGGCAAAUAUAUUCUUCACCUGUUUAACAAAAACAUGUCUUAAUGUUUUAAAUAUUAAGUCUGGCCUGCUCAAUGAUAUUAUAUUAAAUAGCCGCAGUAUUUUGACUGUGCGAAGGUAGCAUAAUCAUUUGUCUUUUAAUUGAAGGCUUGUAUGAAUGGUUGGAUGAGGGAAUAGCUUUCUUUAUAUUAAAUAUUGAAUUUAAUUUUUUAGUUAAAAAGCUUAAAUAUUUAAGUGGGACGAGAAGACCCUAUAGAAUUUUAAUAAUAAUUUAUUAAAUAAUAAUUUUGGGUAGUACUUUUAUUAAUAAUUUAUUAUUUUUGUUGGGGUGACAGUGAGAUUUAAUUAACUCUCAUAAUAUAAUUUAUUAAAAAUAAAUAUAUUUAAAGAUCCUAUAUUAAGGAUAAUUAGAUUAAAUUACCUUAGGGAUAACAGCGUAAUUUCUUUGGAGAGUUCUUAUCAAUAAAGAAGUUUGCGACCUCGAUGUUGGAUUAAAAUUAGAUUUAAGUGCAGCAGCUUAAUUUCUAGGUCUGUUCGACCUUUAAAAUUUUACAUGAUCUGAGUUCAGACCGGCGUGAGCCAGGUCGGUUUCUAUCUUUUUAUUAAUUAUUUACAAAUUAGUACGAAAGGACCAUUUGUGACAAUUAUUUUGUUAAAAUUGAUUAUCUUUAAAA
rnacentral:rRNA from 1 species